rnacentral:rRNA from 1 species
UACGAAGGGGGCUAGGCGUUGCUCGGAAUCACUGGGCGUAAAGCGCACGUAGGCGGAUUGCUAAGUCAGGGGUGAAAUCCUGGGAGCUCAACUCCAGAACUGCCUUUGAUACUGGCGAUCUCGAGUCCGGGAGAGGUGAGUGGAACUGCGAGUGUAGAGGUGAAAUUCGUAGAUAUUACGCAAGAACACCAGUGGCGAAGGCGGA